rnacentral:rRNA from 1 species
GCAAAAAUGUGUGGGUUCGCCCAUGUAGAUUUUACAAAGCACGCUUCCAAGAAAAGUAUCUAAGGUUAAUGCAAUAGAAUCCGUACCGUAAACCGACACAGGUAAUCAGGUCGAGUAGACCAAGGCGAACGAGUGAGAGGUCUUCAAGGAACUCGGCAAAAAAGCAGCCGUAACUUUGGAAUAAGGCUUGCCGUUCUUAAUUUAUUAAGAUCGGCCGCAGCGAAAGUAUCUCUGGCAACUGUUUAUCAAAAACACAGCUCCCUGCGAACUCGCAAGAGGAUGUAUAGGGGGUGACGCCUGACCAAUGCGAGAAGGUCAACUAUCGACGUUGUAUAGUAGCAAUAUUAUAUGGUGAUUGAUAUAAGCCCUCGUGAAUGUCGGCCGUAACUAUAACGGUCCUAAGGUUUUGCAUUUGAGUGCAAACUCGAAUGUAAAACGGACUAGGACAGGUUAUAGAAAAAGAUAAACAAUUAAUAAAAAUUUCAGGAACCAUUUCAGCUACCUAGUAUUAUAGUAAUGUAGUAUUAGUCCAUACUUGAUGAACGAGAGACCAACGUCAAGCAUCCUAAUCUGUAAAGAUGGAUGAAGAUAGAGUCCUUCUUAGGGGUACAGAAGAGCGAAGUACCUUGUCGGGUAAGUUCCGACGCGCACGAAUGGCGUAAUGACUGGAGAACUGUCUCGAAGACCUGCUCGGUGAAAAUACAAUACCGGUGAAGAUGCCGGUUACCUGCAGAUAGACGAAAAGACCCUAGAAGCUUUACUGCAGCUUGAUAUUGAGCAUGUGAUUGCAUUACGUAGCAUAGUUGGGAGAGGUUAUACGUACGAUUUCGGUUGUGCGGUACUCGUCAGUGAAAUACCAAUUUUUGUGACUAUAUGUUCUAAUCUCUACGGCAAAAACGCAGAGAGACAGUAUCUGGUGGGUAGUUUUACUGGGGCGGUAUCCUCCUAAAGAGUAACGGAGGAGUUUAUUAAGGUUAGCUAGGCGCGAAUGGAAACCGUGCCGAUAGUGUAAUGGCACAAGCUAGCUUAACUGUAAGGCGUACUGGCCGAGCAGAUACGAAAGUAGAACAUAGUGAACCGACAUUUCGCAUUAGAUGCGGAUGAAGAUUAACGGAUAAAAGCUACUCUAGGGAUAACAGGCUAGUUCCGCCUAAGAGUUCAUAUCGACGGCGGAGUUCGGCACCUCGAUGUCGGCUCACCUUAUCCUGGUGGUGGAGAAGCUGCCAAGGGUUUAGCUGUUCGCUAAUUAAAAAGGUACGCGAGCUGGGUUCAAACCGUUCAGAGAUUAAUCAGUGAAAACUGAUUGAGACUUGGACAGUUUGAACCAAUUGAGGAACACGAAAAAAUGAAAGUUUUUUCUAACUGUUUUAAUCUGAGAUUAAGACCGCGUGUACUGUGGUACACUCACGGCGGCAUACAAUUUAUUGUAUGUGAAGUUCACUUAUAUCGGUAAAAUCCUAUUCGAAAAGUUGGAUAAUACCGAGGGAAGUGUAAAAACACCCGUAGAGAACUAAACGUCAACGACCCACACUCACGAAAGU